CGCUGAGCACCCGGGCUGUGCCCCUGAACUUCUUACUUGAAGAAAGCCCCUAAUAUGUCCACUCCAGUGUUAGGAGAAUUUGGAGCAUAUGAUGGUGGCUCCCCUGCUUCUGCACACCCCUAACCCGGAAUUGGAGGGGAUAAUUUGCGUCACUACAAAAAGCUAUCAUGGGCGGAUGGUUCUCUUGACCACUCAAAAUAGGUUUUCAAUUCCAUUUUCCGGCAGAGCAGCUGGAGUCUCUGGAAUUUCUACGUCCCGUGCCUCUGCCUUCCACCUAGCACAGGACAGGACCCCCGAGGGCGGUGGCCCUGCAGACAGCCCUUCUCUAGGACUGGGCACCUGCCUAGGGAGCCUGAGAUGAGGUCGGCCUUGGCUCAUCACCUGGAGAGAGUGGAUCUGGGAGGCCCGGGCAGCGCUACGCAGGGCCCAGCCUGGGUGGAGCCCCCGAGGCGGGGACGGUGGAGCCUCGCGGACCCUGGCUGGGGACGGGGCAAAUCCAGGCAUGGGGCGCUCCAGGUGAGACGAGGAGUCCUCACCCCAGUGAACUGUGAGGCCAAGGGACCCUGGGACAGGGCGGGCUCUGGCCACUAAACAGCAAAGAAGGCAGAGACAUCCUGUGCCGUUCCAUGUGGGAGCCUCAGACUCUCAGGAGUCCUGGCGAGCCCCAGGGUCUUUGGCCACGUUUGGAUGGGUCGGGUGGGGCCAGGAUCCAGCAUUUCCCCAGGGCUCUGAGGAGAGAAGGGAACGGGAAGGUUCUGGUCAUGUCGGAGGAGUGUGGAAAGUUCCUUUUCCAGUAGAAAUAUCAAGUCUCACAUUUACGUUUAGGCAGCUGACAAACUUUGAAAAGCUUUGAACUUUUGUUUGGCAUUGAAUCCACAUCAUCUGUCGCCCAUGUAAACACAGCAGAAUUCCAUAAGGACUGGGUGGUGAACCCCCACUCUCUACGGAGCUCCAGCCCCAUGCUGUCUCUUGCUUGGUUUCUGACAUUAACAACGGAGUAGAACAUGUUGUCAUUUAUUUGUUGACAUCGCGGAUGAAGGAGUAGAAUCCAUUUUGCGGGGAAAGAUGUAGAGAUAUUGAUUGGAUGUAGCCACAGGGGAUCACUGGGUGCCUUAAAGAGAGCGGUUGCAACUUCGUGCUGGGGUAGAAGAGACUUGAGUGAGGUGAGGACUGAGUUGCAGGUGGGGGUGAGGAAAUGGAGAGAGCAAAGUAGCAGUUUUAAGGAAGUUUCUGGUAGGGAGAAAGAGUUACAUGAGUAAUGACAGGGAUAUAGAGCGCUGGUUUUUUUGUUUGUUUGUUUGUUUGUUUGUUUUUGAGAUGGAGUCUUGCUCUGUCGCCCAUGCUGGAGGGCAGUGGUGCGAUCUCGGCUUACUGUAAACUCCGCCUCCUGGGUUCAAGCAAUUCUCCUGUCUCAGAGUAGCUGGGAUUACAGGCGCCCACCACCACGCCUGGCUAAUUUAUGUAUUUUUUAGUAGAGACGGGGUUUCACCAUGUUAGCCAGGCUGGUCUUGACCUCCUGACCUCAGGUGAUCCGUCCGCCUCGGCCUCCCAAAAUGCUGGGAUUGUAGGCGUGAGAACCACCGCGCCUGGCCAGAUGGAAGAUUUUAAAGCAAUUUUUAAUGCUGAUGAGUAUACACAGAAGAUAGAUUAAAUAUACAGUAGAAAGGAGAUAAUUUAUAGACCGGGGUGCCUAAUGAUUGAGAGGUAGCAUGGAUGAGUUCCAUGGUACCUGGGGAGAAGCUGAGCUGAAACAAAACUGAGGCACCUGCUCCUGGUUAACAGGAGAGGAGAAAAUGGUGAAUGAAAUGCAGUGGCUGGAUGCAGAUGAAGACGAAGCCCUGCGGAUGGGUGUGCUGCGAGUUGAAACGAUCCUAGGCUCUGAAUCGUUGUGCAGAGCAGUUCUACAUGCCAACAAAACCACGUGCCUUGGACUGCAAUUUUUAUUAAGUUGUCUCCCCACAGAACAGCAGCCGCUGCCACUGCAGAGUGCCACAGAAUGGACCAAAGACAAAGGCCAAGGUGGAGGAUAAAAUCGUCUCCACCCCUGCUUGCCUGGGGCCUCAGCUGAGCAUCAUUGUUGGAAUAACUCAACCAAUGUUGAUGUGAUACCACUGGCAGCUCUUCCUUGGGUCUGAAAAAUCUGUGGCAAACAAGCUUCCUAACACGAACUUAUCUCCUCAGUGCUCACGGUUAAAACAAGUUUUCCCAAAAAAUUAAUGAGUAUUUCCAUAAGGGAUGAAAAUAUUUUAAAAACUUGAAUCACACUUCAAGACAAAAGCCUGAAGAUGGAGCUUUGAGUCCUGACUCCCUGCCUGAGGUUCUCAUCUGUGGAAUGUUCCAGCAGUUGCAUCCAUCUUCCUGUUUUCUGUAUGGUUGCUUGUCCCCUAAGUGAACACAUUUACCUCUUCUACAGAAAGUCCUGGAUUGAAAGAAGCUGUUUUGGGGGACCUGAGCUGUCACCACUUGUUUCCUCAGAGAGAUUUGGCAGAAGGGGUGGCUGUGUAGCCCUGUCCUCCCCCUGCUCCUCAGCAAAACCUUCUGGGAGAGGCUUUCCCCAGGGAAGGAGGAGGAAUGCUCUUCCCGCGAGGGUGGCAAACGGCAGCCGAGCCUCCUGGUUAGAGCUUCCAACAAACUCUCAGUGCCCAACUGUGGGGGAUUUCUUCAAGGCAAAACAGAAACAGUUAAUUCAGAAAUCUCUGUGCUUUUAUGCUGAUUUUGUUACUUAAGUUGCUUUAAUACCUGUAUGAAAGCAGAAUAUAAAAUUAGCAAAUGGACUUUUCUAAAUCAUUUCAUUUUCUUUCAAAAAUAACUUAAAAAAUUUUUUUUUUACCUGAAGUGAUCAACAUUGUACGUUCUGAAAGUGUAAAGGGACUGAAAAGACAGGCUGAAAAAUAAAGUAAGAAGAAGAUUGUACAACAUUUCUAGCUGCCUUUUUUUCCUUUGAUAAGGGAACCCAUGCAGUCAGCUAAGAGCUGCCACCAAGAUCAAGGCCCUGCAGGGCACCGAUGAGCAGGAUCACCGGGAGCGCUGUGUUUACAGGGAUUUCAUUUUUCAUUUUGAAGGGUUGCCACGUCACUUUCCCAAGUUUUGCGGGGCAGAGUGAGGCUUCAUCAAGACAUGCAUCCAUGGACUGGGCGAAAUUCCAGUGUCCAUUAUUUCCUGGGGAAAGCGUGUAAGAGGCUCUCUCUAUCGCUCUUCUUACUUCUGCAUCCCCCAGAACACACAUACACAGUCACAGUCACACAUGUUUGCACCAAACACGGCCUCACUCUCACAAGACACUCACGAAGGUACGUUGACAGUCUCACAGGGUCACAAACAUGCACUAGAAAUCUGACACACACACACACACAUCCAAUCUCUCUCUGACACACACACACUAUCUCACACACACAUGCUCCUCUGCUCUGCUGAGUCAUCAGUCUUGGAUCUCAGCCUCAGCACGUGUGGGGCCUGCCCUGUGGGAGGCUGUUGAACACAGAGGGAAGCUGAGGUUGCACUGUCCACCUCCUCAUUACCAUAAUGAUUGCGUUCAGCAUCCUUCAUCAGCACAGGAGCACUAAGGGUUGGAGAGGACGUGCAUCACCUUUACUCGCACAGCUGCUCACAUCGGGCACUUGAGACGUGUAUUUGCUGGGACACUUGGGAGUGAAAUGGCUUGUGGAAUUUAGUCUCGUGUCAGUCUUCAGCUUUAAGUUUCAAGCGAUCCUGCUCUGGGAAUAAAUAUUGAGUACGACGUAGAAAACAGCUUUUCUUCAAGGACCUCUGAAAGCCAUGUAAGCACCAUUCUUUGAUAAACAUUCUCAUCCCAACUGAUGGAGGGAAAAGCCAGGAACAGGGUCCCAGGGAGGCCAAAGGGGUUCCCGACUGGGAAUGAGAAGCCAUCCCUUCAGGACUCUGCUGUGCCCCGACAGCAGGCACAGGAGGCGUGGUCCCUGCCUUUCCCCCACCUCACCUGCCCUUUCCCGCUGGAGUAAAUGGGAAGAGAGCUCUGCUCAAGCCUCAGCCUCCAGGACUCUCCAUCAUACCAGCUGCCUCAGGCAAAUUAAGCACAGCAAAUGCUGCUCUGUUCAGGGCUCCUCCCUGUUUAUUGCAAGACGGUGGUUCUCAAACCUGACCUUCUGGGACACUUAACGAUUACCCUUGACUUUUGAAUCUCUCCAUGAUAUCUGAUAACAGUCGAGUGUGGAUUUCUUGGUGAAGUGAGGUCUCUCCCUCCACCUUUGCCCAUGGAAUUGAGUGACGGUCACCCCUCAUUGACUCUGCGGAGAGCUGGUGCCUCCUACAGCAGAACAAGCAGGAAAUAGCGCAGCAGAGAGCAUCUUACAAGCCAGAGGGGCAGCAGAGGCAGCACGGGGCAGAGCUGGGCGGUGAGGAAACUGAGCAUCAGCUGCUGGAGCAGCUGCCGUGAGGGAACUGGCUGGGUUUAUCUCAAGAGGCUGUGCUGCUGGGGCCGACCAUUGGUGGGAGGUCCCAUGCUCACCGGGACAUAAGGCCGCCUGUGCACGAACCGUGUGGCAGCUGGCGUCCUUUGUUUCAACAAACAGAACUGCAUUUCCAACUAAAAAACCCAAGUGUGAAAUUUGUAGACACCGUGUAUCAGAGGGAAGAACUUGAGAAGAUUAACUAAACUUCUGGAACCUCAACCGCUCUCCCUUGUGCACCUCACGCCUCGAUGAGAUGAUGAAAUGUGAUACCGCGCAUAUCGAUGGUGGGAAAAAUGUUACGUGUCAUUCAGAGCAUUUGUCAGACGUUUAUUAAAGUCUCGUUUCAGGUUUGGAGGGUACUAUUUAGAAGUCUUAAUUUCCGAAUUGGAUCCUAUAAUUAUCUCAGGGUUUAAUAACACGUCAAAAGCAUAGCAGAGAAGGGAAAAAGAGUAUAAUUUUGCCUGCUCAUAUGAGGAACUAUUUAUUGAUUUCCCUUGGGGUCCUGAGCAGAAGGAGCUGUGUUAAGAAAUACUUUGGCUCGAAGUACCCAGCUGUGUAAGUGGUUUUGGGUGUGGACUCUUACGGCCAUGGUCCUAAAUGAUUCAAAUUGUAAGGUGGCAGGCAGAAGUCACACUUUUCUGAUAAAUGUUAAACUUAGUUACCUUCAUUAUAUCAACAUCAUCAAAAUCAAUUGUGUGUCUGUUUGUUUAUUGUGGUGGAGGCUGCUCUAGAGCUGCAGCCACAUCAUGGGAUCUCUGCUACCCCAGCUCUCCCGCACAUUCCAGGCUUAGAGACACAUGGAAUAAGUGAAUGAUGAACAAGUGAAAUCAGCAACAUUCAGCCCAAUCAUGAUCAACUGGUCUCUCAUCUGAAAGCCGCAAAGGUCAGAGAUCUGCUGGUCUAAACCCUGUUUUGUUGUGAGGAUGACAUCCCAGUGGAUGGAUUUACCAGCCAAGGCCAUCACUUUACUGAGUGUCUAGAAACCGCAUCUGGAGGCCCCUAGGGCAGUGCUGUGUCCCCCUUUCACCCACUACACCCUUCUGUGAAUCCUGGCAACCUUCAAAAAUGUACCUGAGGUGAAAUAAUGAGACAAAGGGCCUUAGUUCUAAAGCAAUCAGAAGCAGUGAGUUUGUGUGUUCUGAUCACCUCUCCCUGGCGCUGUGAACAGUCCCCGUUCUUACAGCACGAGUGCCCUGCUAGCCUUAGAUUUCCUCCUGAGGCUGCUGGGCCUGAGCUGGAUGUGGGGUUUUGUCCGAAUGUGCCAUCCCAGUCAGGUGCUUGAUGCUUGAUGCUCUGGCUAAGGAAUGAAGGUGUUAGGACCCUGAAGGGAAGUUGGGACCCCAGUACAUCCUUCCCUGGAGGUGACAUAAAGUGUCCUCUUCACUGAGCACAGACAGGACUUCUGUAAAAAGAGAAGUGAGCCCCAUGAGCUCUGUAAAAAGAGAAGUGAGCUGCCCGCCCUGCCUUCUCGGCUUUCCUUUGUCUUUCAGAUGGAGAUGCGCUGACCUGCCCCAAUACCUAUUGUUGUUUGUUAAAUUACUCCAAGAUAGUUAUAGUCAAUGGCAAACACCCACUUAGAAGCACAAAUCAUGUCAGAUGUUCAGGACCAGCACAAACAAUCAAUCAAGUAAACAGCACCUUCCUUGAAUAUGUGGCAGGUGUGUGAGGAUUUUAUGAACCUGUUCUGCAUUUCCAAAUCCACCCUGAGGCUUCUCCCAGGACACAGUCCUGUGGAUCAGCCUGUACUCGGGCGGUUUUACCUUCUGUGUCUCUCUGUCACAGUAGUCUUGUCCUAGUGCUCAUCACUGCACGUUCCCAGCUCCAGCAAGUGGCCAGGCUUUUCCCUCCACAGCCAAAGGCCCGAUGGCCCAGCCCCCAGGUGGCUGGUGGCCCUUCCAUGGCUGAGGUCACACACCCAGCAUCGCAUCCUGCCCUUCUCGGGGCCUUGGGCCCCUUCGGCUCUUCUCCAGGGAUUGCACUUGCUCCUGCUGCCCACGGCGGUUUCCUUCCUGUGAUUCCACUCGGAGGGGGCAGUUUUCUUUCCUGGCUUCAACCAUCACAGAGCUGCUUUGUGUUCACCGGCAGCUGCCACGCUUCCCUGAAAAGGCAGCUUCCGUUCUGCUGGAGAUGAACUGAUUUGCCUGGCAGCCAACUUAAACAAGGAGACUUGUCAGAAGUUGAUGUGCAGCAGAGAGUAGCAACUCUGACAAUAAAAGGGGUGAAUAAAUUAUUAUCCUUUAACCUCAAUCUCAGUAUCAGAUGAAGAAGUUCCCCUGGGGUGAUGCUGGUGACCCUCACAUUUCCCGCCUUGCACUGAGCACAAUGUCGAAGGCUGACAAAGAUGAACGACUACAAUCAAUUCUAUAACUGCAAACUCAGACCUAUUAAAUAAAAGUUCAUUUCUGCUUCUCAAUCUUGGAGGCUAUUGUGGGCCUCACUAAAAAUCGACAAGUGAAAAAUUCUGAAAUAAAUGAGACUUAAUAACACAACUUAGAAACCAGUGCUCUUAUAAUCAAAUGGAUAACUUAAUUUAUUAUAUACCAUUAAAAUAUUUCAAAAUAGAAUCAAAUCAUGACACAAACCCAAAGUGAAAAAAGCAUUUUAUUUUCAUACAAAUUUUAUCACACAGUUUUAUUUGUCUUGGACAUUGCACAUCAAGUCCUCUUAUUCAUUUUUAUUUUAAUCAGACAAGAUUUUUCAGAACCUUGCCUACUUUUGAAACAACGUCAUUCAAAGUAGAUGUUAGUGGUCCAGUUUACACUUUAGAUCAUGUACAGACAAAAUAAGAAUGAACGUUGAACACAGGAUGUGGAAGGGGCGCAAGUUAGUGUCUACAUUUAGAACCUCCAGUAGUUCUUACAAACAUAAGCUUAAUUUUACAGUACAGGAGGGCUCAAAGAUCUGUACCAUUGCCACAUGGUGGGGCCUGUAUGCCCCUGUGAUGGCUGAAAGUUGAUCUUGUGCCUCAAUUACACAAUGAUUGGUUCCACCAUGUAAUGAGAAAAUCUCAACGGGCUACUAGUUAACUACCAAGCCUUGUUAUUUUCGGAGUAUCUUGCAUCUUUCCAGCAGUAGCUUAUUUAGGGGAGGCAGGUAGGAAAUGUCCUCCCACUUAGGAAGCUUCAGAACAUGUUACAGUAGGUAAUUAGGCAAACAUGAGCAGGGCAGAAGAGGGCCCCACACCAGUAUUGUCAGGAGACCAUCCAGUGAUGGUCAGGUGGUUGUUAAACUGUCUCUUUAAAAUAAUAAUUGGUUGUAGUUGGCACCAGGGAGAGGCAGUCUCCUAACAGAUAGAAAAGCCUGAAACUGGUGAUCAGCAGCUUCCUAAUAAUAUCUCAGGAGUUGGAUGAGUGGGCUCAAGCAUACACACUGAGAGGCAAAAAUGGUGGCAUCUGACUGCUAUACGAUCUUCCUCUAGGAACAUUCAGCUGGCAAGGGAAAAUGCCUCAAGUGAGUAUGUUCACAACUCCAGUAAUCACACUGCGCAUGCGGCCCCUCCCAAGUGCUGGCAGGUCACUGCACAUACUGACAGCCUACUGCAAUGAAAGAAUCAGGGGAGAAUGGACACAAGACCCCGGAAGGAUGCCAAUGUAUGAAACCCCAAGUCAAAGCAACCUAUGUACUUGGAUCUCUCAAGUUGCCCACUUGGCCCUCUUCCAAGUGUACCUUACUUCCUUUUGUUCCUGCUCUAAAACCUUUUAAUAAACUUUCACUCCUGCUUUAAAACUUGCUUCAGUCUCUCCCUCUACCUCAUGUUCCUUGGUCAAAUUCUUUCUUCUGAGGAGGCGAGAAUUGAGGUUGCUGUAGACGCGUGUAGAUUCACCAGUGCUAACAAACACAGUUUACUGAACUGUUGCAGGUUCCACCCUCACUUCCGUGAAAGCAACGUGAGCCAAUUGUGACCCAUCAUGUCAGUAGUUUCAGUGGUGGGAUUGCAUGAAAAACACAAUGGUGAAACUCAUUCCUUUUAAAUGACAGUUCUGUACAAGUGUUCCUUCCUACUGAGAUUCCCAUGACGUUCGUCUCCAGGGUUGCGUUAGCAUUUCUCCAAGGAAGCUUGUCCCAGCCCUUUGAGUAGGAGCUGCACUGCAGGGCUGGAAUGAUGGGUUGGAAGGUCGCUCUCACUAAUAUGAGCUAUGGUGACUUCGUGCAAGUGAAUUGUGAACAGUAAUUCAGCUGAACUAAAUGGGAGCACUCAGGAAAACUUAAGGCAAAGGGGAAAAAGGAGUUAGAGUAGACAUGAGACUCACAAAGCUUACGUGGGAUUUCUUGAGAAAGAGCCUCCUCAGGUACUCAGUUGAUGGCCCAUGGCAAGACUGAAAUUAUUGCCAAGUUCGCUAGUGAGUGGGAUUUAAGAUAAUAAAAACUCCACAUUGCUAAAAGCCAAAAAGCCAAACUUUGUGCCAUGUUUUAUGUCAGAAAAUGUGCUUAUAGAAUGCCACAUAGGCCAAAGUUCACACUUAUUUUUUUUUCUCAAUUUGAAAAGGAAGUGGGGGUUACAACAAUGUCUCACAUAUCCCACUGUGUAUUUACAGUGGAGUUAGUUUUUCCAAGCCAGAAAAACAAGACCCCUCAGCUGUCAGAUAUCAAACUGGAUCAACAUUACCGAUGCAUUAGUAGAUAAUUCUCCGUAUUAGUUCUCAUGUUUCUAUUACGUAUAACUUACUUUUUAACCACAGCUUUGCUUUAAACUAUAAUUAAAAAGUCAACUGAAUCUCUGUGAAAACAAAUGGCUCCUGAGAUUUUGAAACUACCAGAAACUACCAGAAAUUUAAACAGCCUCAGGAGACAGCACCUACAGGAAUAAUGACAAGCCUGUAGAUUGCAUACCGAAAAUUACUUAGUUGUUAACUAAUUUAUGACUUGGAAUUUUGAUAAUAACUUUCAGCCAGUAGGGUCAUUGUGAAGACUUUAAAACUGCUGUGCAAGUCAGAAUGUGACUCAGCCACAGAGAACUGAGACUUUUUCAAUCUGAGGGCAUGGUGGGAGGUGGGUCCUUCCUAACUACCUUGUGGGGGUACAGGAAGAAAGAGAAAGAUCCCCACAGAGGCUGACUGUGUUGGCCUAAGUGUGGGGAUUUCCACCAAGCACCCUAGUGAUGCCCAUGCUGCUGGCCUAAGGACCUUGCUGUGGGCACCACAGGACUUGGGACUUCACCCCUCAGAGUGGGAAGCUUCUCUUCCUCAUCUGGCCUGUGCUGGAACCCACGGUGAACGGCUUCUUGGAGCAGAAUGUGCAACUCUGACAGAGAGUAAAUUCUUCCUCAUGUUAAACUGAGGAUUGCGCAACCCCUGAUAUGGCAGUCUUGCUGAUACAACUUGCUGCAAAGAGACACCCACACUUUUCCCAGGGCUGAGAAGACAAGCAGUUGAUGAUCUAUAUUGUGGCUGUACUUGUGAACCUGGGAGCUGACAGGCAGGAUCACUGAACCCCUCCCUCAAAUCUGAGGAAGUCUAAGGGCUAUGAUCCCUGUGGUCAGCUGGCCGAGGCAUUCUCCCUAGAAACAGGCCUCUGCAUGGAUUCAAGUUCACUGAUUUGCUGAAGAGUUGUUAGGAUUCUGUCCAGGAGGGACAGACAUUCCACCCUCACUCUCAUCAACCCCCAAAACGUGUAGGUUUGGAUAAAUCCCAGGGAUCAUCCUCAAUUGGCUCAUUUAAAGAUAGAGAAGUCUGGGCACAGUGGUUCACGCCUGUAAUCCUAGCACUUUGGGAGGCCGAGGCAGGUGGAUCACAAGGUCAGGAGUUCGAGACCAGCCUGACUAACAUGGUGAAACCCCGUGUCUACUAAAAAUACAAAAAUUAGCUGGGCAUGGUGGCACGCACCUGUAACCCCAUCUACUCAGGAGGCUGAGGCAGGAGAAUCACUUGAACCUAGGAGAUGGAGGUUGCAGCAAGACGAGAUUGCGCCACUGCACUCCAGCCUGGGUGACACAGCGAGACUCUGUCUCAGAAAAAAAAAAAAAAAAAGAUGGGGAAGCAGAGGCUUUUGGAGAGGAAGAAACUCCCUUGGGAUUCACAUGUUGCGAUUGAGGUUGCACCAAGACCAGUGUCAAGCGUGUGGCACCUUUUCCUUCACAAUACACGACCUGAGACACUAAAGUUGACAGUAUAUUCUGGAUUCAGUUAGAUGCCUUUAGCUCAUCACAGAAACCUUAAAACAGUGCUUUUAAAAAUAAAUUACCAUGCAAGGAAAAACUGGAUUCUUGUAAAACAGUAAGUACUAUCUAUGUAUACAGGCUUAAGAAUAAAAACAGAUGUGUCAAGAAACGAAGUAAAUCACCCACAGUCUGAUCAUAGUAAGACAAUCCUGUCUUGUUGCAGACUAAAAGUUUGUGUCCCCCAAAACUCAUAUGUUGAAAUCGAGUCCCCCAUGUGAUCAUACUUGGAGGUGGGGCCUUUGGGAGGUAAUUAGGUCAUGAGAGUGGAGCCUCAUAAGUGGAUGAGUGCCCUUACGAAAAGAGGACCUGGAGCCAGCUCACUUUCUCACUGCCAUGUGGGGCACAAGAGGGGCUUCACCAGAAGCUGACCACGCUGGCACUCUGAUCUCAGACUUCCAGUCUCCGGAACUGCGAGAAAUAAAUGUUUGCUGUUUACCAGUCGGUGAUAAUUUUCCCAGCAGCUAGGGUUGACUGAGACAUGGCUGGAAAAGAGGCCAAGCAUCAUCAUGGCCAAACUUCUUCUCUUCUUAGAGCCAACACUUCCUCAGGGGGCACUUAACACCCCUGUCCCAUCACACUCCACUUACUGAAGCAAAUUCUCCCACCUGAUCACAUACAGACGGGCCAGCUCUGAGGAGACAUGCAAUCUCCUUGUGAAACUCAUCACUCUUGAAGCGUGAUAUGAAGCAAUGUCCUUAUAGUGCUCACCUAAAUGGAUAAAUGGCACCAGUCUUCUGAUGGGAAAAUCCACAGGAAAAGUUCAAGUCUUGACCCUAAUUACAGAAGAAAUGAGCUCACUGCAGUCAUGAAACUCUGAGUCUAGAAGUGUCAUUUCCACACCGAGCCAGGCAGUUUCUUUAUUCCCUGAACCAUAUGUUUAUUUCUUAGCUGAACUAUUCUGUGAGUGGUUGUCAAGAACUAAGAUUUGUUAAAUUUGUUUAUUUUUGCUUUUCUCUCAGCUCAAAAUUAGAAACAUAUGUUCAUCACCUCCACAUAUGAGUAGUUCAGCAUGAACUGUUUUUCUCAUUUUAUUCCGAGCAGAUUAGUCAAAAUAGUUCUCAUUUCAAUGUUGACCUGAAAAAAGUAAGACAUGCUUGACUUAUUUUAUUAAUUGUGUUUCCUUUAUAAACUAGCAAAUGAACUUAAUUAACUGAAAUAUGGCCGUGCAUCUCAGUGACAUAAUGAGCGAUACUUUCAGGUGAGAGAUGCUAAAGGCAUCAUUAAGCCUGUGGAAGCAACAUGAAGAGACACAUCAGAGGCAUCAAGUCCCAUAGUUCAUGUCUGAAGUAGAGACUGCUAAUGGAAUCUGGGACUUUUCAUCUCCAGUGUUC
rnacentral:lncRNA from 10 species